GACGAACCGUGCGAACGUUAUUCGGAAUCACUGGGCCUAAAGCGCGUGUAGGCGGCCCGGCACGUCUCUGGCUGAAAUCCCCCGGCUCAACCGGGGAAGGGGCCGGGAUACGACCGGGCUGGAGGGGGGUAGGGGGGACGGGAACUCCGGGUGGAGCGGUGAAAUGCGUUGAGAUCCGGAGGAACACCAAUGGCGAAGGCAGCUCGCUGGGACGGUACUGACGCUGAGACGCGAAAGCGUGGGGGGCAAACAGG
rnacentral:rRNA from 1 species